UACGAAGGGGGCUAGCGUUGUUCGGAAUUACUGGGCGUAAAGGGCGCGUAGGCGGUCCUGAUCGUCGGAUGUGAAAGGCCUGGGCUCAACCUGGGAACUGCAUCCGAUACGGCGGGACUGGAGUGUGGGAGAGGUUGGUGGAAUUCCCAGUGUAGAGGUGAAAUUCGUAGAUAUUGGGAAGAACACCGGUGGCGAAGGCGGCUUUCUGGUCUGUAACUGACGCUGAGGCGCGAAAGCGUGGGGAGCAAACAGG
rnacentral:rRNA from 1 species